AUGGUCACGAUUGAUUGUGACACCCACAUUAUACAGGAUGCUGGGAGCCAGAUGCUGGGAAUCAAAGCCAGCAGAGAGCUAACCUUUCUAGAAUGCUUGUCAUUUCCCUUAUGUUGGCCUUGUUGAGCUCGGAGUGUUUUUCCACACUGCUUACCAGGAAAACUCUUAAAAAACGAGCCAGUGAUGUCUGUAUGUUUGCAGAGAGAACAAAGCUGGGAAGAGCUGCGUGAGGAUCGAGUUUCCUCCAGUUGACACCGCCAUCGCCAUCAUGAAGUAUGGUUGCCUCGGUGACCUUCAAAGACCUUGGCCCACACUCAAGGCCAAAGAACACACUGAAAAAAUACCAACAGUCAGGCAAGUGACAGGGUUUCUCUGCAUAGCCCUGGCUGUUCUGGAACUUGCUUCGUAGACCACGCUGGCCUCAAAUCCACAGAGAUCUGCCUCUUGACCAAAUGCUGGGAUAAAAGGCAUGUGCCACUACCAACCACCCAGCUGAGAGACCAUCAUAAAGGGGCAGGCCUGGAAGCAGGAACUCACACUGGCUGCAUCCCCAUCUGUGCUCCCCAGUGCUUGCUGUUCCAAUCUCCCGGGGUUAUUUCUGCUCCAACAGUCUGGUGUCCUGGGGGGCAUUUCACUCCAGCUUGGAGAGGCGAAUGGGCAAGCUAAGGUGAGCAGCUAAGAAGAACUGGAUCAACACGUGAUUAACAACUCAAGCGGGGAAGACAGGCCACCACAAUGAAAUGGAACCGGGGGACUUGAACUCUUGGUAGCAGCAGGAGACUGGCAGAGCUUGAUGAUACACGUUAGAAAUGGCACAGUGUCGUAAGCCCUGGGGAGAGUCACCUGGCUCAGAAGUAGCAGGUCUCAGUGUUAUGGUCCGCUCCCUGCACCCCCUGCCACAUACACACAGCAUAGCUGUAGUCAUUCUGUUCCAUGCCUGCCAAUUAUCUCAUAUUGUUGCUGUAACAUGCCUGCCAAUCACUGACACAGAGAGUGACUUGGCUCAACGAAGGGCAUGCUGACCAUGUACCCUGUUUUGUUCUGUAUGUUCUGAAUGUUAUGUGUUUGCUAAUUUAAAGAAAUUCCAUAAAGCUUUACAUGAAAUCAAAGGUCAAUAUGAACU
rnacentral:lncRNA from 1 species